UAGUCACACCCGAAUUAGGUAUUUACCGUUUCCCCUACAAGCCUACAGCCAAGCUGAGAGAAGCUUAAGGAGACAGAUGGGCAGUAGACCCGGGACGGUGCGGGCAGAGGCGCAGGCCAGCCUCGCCCCGCCGACUCCUCCAGCAGAACAAAUGCGCCGGGCUUGGUGCCUGAAAUGCCGCAACAGGUGGCUGGCCAGGGCUGACUUCAUCACUCAGGCAUCAUCGUUCCACCUUCGUCUCCCAGGCCAGGCCUCCCUGUGGGGAUGUUUUGCCAAACCUCUCCCGCUCGCCCCGUUUGCAGAGGUAGUUUGGGUCACCCCACAGACAGCGGAUGCCAGGGCUCCGGAUGCCCAGUUCCUUGGUCUUUUCAGAACAUCCCUGGAUACAAAGUACGACGUCCACGCGUGGGAGGCUCAGGGUCUGGCAGUGUGCAAGUCACGUGGAGCACAGGUCAUGUGGUAUACGGUUACACGGUGGGGCGGGACAGUCACGUGGGGAGCAUAGUGUUGCCAUGUUUCUUUGUCUCGCGAAGCCGGGGAGCUGAUUGGGCUCAUCCAGCGUGUUCCCACGCUCCCUGACCCGGAAGGAAAGGAACGCUCCUCACUUGGACCCUGACGGCCACGUGGUCAGGUGCCUGUGGGAACUGUGGGGCCUGCGAGUUGAGUCUUCUGUUGUUCCUAAGGCAAUCGGUCCUCCGCCAGUUAUUUAUCCAAGAUUUGCUGCUAGAUUUUUGCCUCUGUGGAGUUCCGUGAGACCUUAGCCCUUUAGAGAGGCUGGGCCUGGACAGGUCAGGUUUUCGGAGUCUGAAAGUGGAAAAACUGGAGUUAAGAAUGAAAAAGGAAAUAGGGAAUGUGAUCAGACCCAGAGACCUGAUUUUCUCUGCCAUUUAGGACAGAAGAAAAAAAAAAAAGUCCUCAGUAAUUUGUCUUGAUAACUAAAAUGCAGGUGACUUUGAAAUAGAUUUUUUUAAAAGCUAUACGUGUGGGCACUAACCAAUAUUUCUACAAACUCCAGGUUAGGACUAGAAAGCUGCGGGCCUCCUACAGAUGGACUUUCCAGAUGGCUUGGCUGUAAAGAACCUGCCUGCCAAGCAGGAGAGGCAGGUUCCAUCCCUGGGUUGAGAAGGUGUCCUCUGGAGGAGAGAAUGGCAACCCACUCCAGUAUUUUUGCCUGGAUAAUCCCAUGGACAGAGGAGCCUGGUAGGCUACAGUCCAUGGGGUCGCUGAGAGUAGGACAGGACUUGGCUACUGAACAACAACAACAAAUUCCUGCAAACGACUUUGAAUUCUCCAUUAGCAGAGUUAAGCAGCCAGCCCAGCUCUCAGGAGGAAACACAUGGCGAUGGCUUGGCCCCUGGAGGUUUGUCUGCAGAAUUCCUGGACUUCACUUAUUUGGAGGAUCCUGAGACACAAGUUGGUCUGCGCUGUGAUUCAUGGGUCUGACAGAAGUCUUAUUUUUUAAAAACUCUUUGUGACAGCCUUCCAUUCUUAGAAGCUGAGUCUCU
rnacentral:lncRNA from 1 species